CGCGCUGUUGGUGUCCUGGCCGGGUUCCGUGCGGGGCGCGCGGGGAGACCGGAGCCCGCGCAUCCCUCCUGCAAAAGUUUUAAUGAACAUAGACCCACCCGGGCCUGGGGCGCUCCCAGGCCUGCUGGCCGCGCCGCUUCGAUUUCGGAGUUCCUCUGGGAGAGUUGUACGCUUCGAUGGCGUCUCUCUUUGUCCUCGACUCAGAGAAUCAGGAUUCGGAGCCUGUAAUUGAAGCAGGAGUCCGGCCAUGGCUGCGGAGAUGCCAUCACCCUAAGGAAAGAGGGAGGCAUCUUCUGAGGAAUCGCCUUGAGAACCCGAGGCACGUCUGUUCAUACCUUCAAUCCUGACAAGCUGUUUUUGAAGGCGAAUAUGAUGUUUGGAACCAUCUAGAAGUCAUUUGGAGUCCAGUGAAAAAGCCAGCGGUCAAGGGGAGAAUAAAGGUCUGAGUGAAAAGGUAGCAGCCAAACAAAGGAGCGUGGAAGGGGAAGAGUUCCAACAGCAGUCGGACAAGAUCACUUCAGGCAGAAGGAACAGAACAAUAUGGGCUUCCUCCAGGGGACAAAACAGCACCUAACUACUGCAGCACGCAAGGGCAAGAAGUGCAAACUACACUGAGAGGAGACCAGCAGAGCGCACACAGAGGGGAAGUGCAGCUACCUGGCAUCACACCUGGGCGCUGCCAACCAUCGUGGCAAUUGGGCUGCCUGGAGAAGGGGAAGGCCAGGAGGAGAGUAGAAUCCGACAGUGGAUCCUAGAGCACUCCCUUGAGGAUGUCAUAGGGAGCUUUCGCUCCUGGGGCCACGGAGUUUAGAAGCUCAGUUCCCGUCUCGCCCUUCCCACACCAAAGAAGGGGAAUGAACAUACAUGGAUGCCAUUUCUUCAUUUCAUCAAAUACCUCCUUGCUUGUUACAGUCUUUUUGCCUUCAGUGGGCAAGAAGACCAACUAAAAUCGUCCUUUAUUCACUAAAUAUUGUCUUUCCUAGCCUCUAGAGUGAGGCCGGUGACAACUACUUUGUACUAUGAGUGGGCUUUUGGCAAGCUAUCAACACUUCCUCAGCAGUGCUGUCCCAUAGAACUUUCUGCAGUGGCGGAAAUGUUCCACAUCUGUGCUGUCCUAUCUAACAGCUACUAGUUACACAUGGUUACUGAACACCUGCAAUA